rnacentral:rRNA from 1 species
UACGUAGGGGGCAAGCGUUGUCCGGAUUUAUUGGGCGUAAAGAGCGUGUAGGCGGCCAUACAGGUCAGCUGUGAAAUCUCCUGGCUCAACUGGGAGGGUGCGCCGGAAACUGGAGUGCUUGAGCGUGGGAGAGGAAAGCGGAAUUCCUGGUGUAGCGGUGAAAUGCGUAGAUAUCAGGAGGAACACCUGUGGUGUAGACGGCUUUCUGGACCAUAGCUGACGCUGAGACACGAAAGCGUGGGUAGCAAACAGG